GCAGGACUUAGGUAAGGUGAUGCACUUUUUUGAACAAGGAAAUCUCCUUAUCUUUUUUCUCCUUUUUUUGCCAGUUUCCCAUAUAUUCCUUUUUAUUUUAUGUGCUAAUUAAAAAAAAACGAAAAGUCACGCCUAAUAAAUUGUCUUAUUUAUUCUUGCGCCUUUUCCUCCUCUUCCGCUCUUUAAUACGCCUCUUCCUCUUCUUUUGUUCUUUAAUUUUAUGAGUUACGUCCGACUCUUUUCCUUUGGAAAAAGUAACGCCUUUUCCUAGCCUCUCUUUUCUCUUUCGACCGUCAUACCUGACAAUCUCACAAUAGUCAAUAGGUAUACCUCUUUCGGCUUCAGUUAUUUUAAGAGUGGGAUUAUUCUUAUAGUGUGCAUAUUUUUCUCUUUGCUAUUGUCAAUCAGAAGAAAAUUGGGAGAUGAAAACUGAAAGAGAUAUGUAGGGAGUUUAUAAACUGUUAGGAGUAAUUUUCAGAGGGUGGCUGAAGGGGAUGAAAUAGUAGCUGAAGUAAGAGGAGAGAGGGACAAAAGAGGAGGAAAAAAAGUGAUAGGAUCGAAAAAAGCAGGUGUCAUGCGGAAGCUAGCAAAUGAAACCUUGAAUGACGAUAAAUCAUUCAACAAAA